CCCCACGUAGAAUAAAAAAACUAUUAAGCGAUACUCUUUUCCUGAAUGUCGUUCACUUUUACAUAUAGAGGAUAAGUGCGGCGAAUUAUAAAUAUUGUGACGCACUACGACUUAGAGUUUGUUCUCCUUUAUGUGAAGGAAACACUUCUCAUUUGAAGAAUUUGGGCAAAAUCAGUGUUUAAUAACCUAUUCUGGAACUUCAAGAAAGAGAUUAAGAAUUUGAAGUUUCAAGAACCCAUCUUUGGAGAAAGUGCACAACAAGUUGAUGCAGCUGAGAUGUUAAAGAACAACUUGAAGGAUUAGUUGAACCUAUUUUUUCUUUCAUUUGGAGUUGUUUAAAGAUGUUCUGCUUGUACAUUCUACAUUCCUAUUUUCUUCUUUUUGUUAGAAUGGACAAAUAUAAUGUGAUGCUUUAUCCCAUUUGUAAGUAACUAUAAAAUUUUAUAUUCAUAUU